AAAGUCGUAACAAGGUCUCCGUUGGUGAACCAGCGGAGGGAUCAUUAAAGAGUUGCAAAACUCCCAAACCAUUGUGAACUUACCCCCAACGUUGCUUCGGCGGGUUGGCCCCGGGUCUCCCGGGGCCCCCCGGCCCUCACGGGCGCCCGCCGGAGGUACCUAACUCUCGAAAUUGUAUGGCCUCUCUGAGUGAUUUAUAAAUAAGUCAAAACCUUCAACAACGGAUCUCUUGGUUCUG
rnacentral:misc_RNA from 1 species